rnacentral:lncRNA from 1 species
GGCCAUGUUUGAAGAACCAAAGUAAUCGUGUGAAUUUUGCAGGACAUGUGUUGGGGAGAGUAACUCAUGUGAAGCUAACCCACAGCUGAACGUUUCCAUGCAUUCUCGGUGACUUGUCGUCGAGCUGCUGGAAGCCAUUUAGAGGAUCAGAAGGUUACCUAUGAAAUUAAUGAGAUAAAUAUGAUACUUGAGAUGCAAGGUAUGUAUAGAACUUGCCUAUUACUUAGUAGUCUCUCAACCAUGGUUCUUGUGCCUCCGGGGUUUGGCAACAGAUCAAUUCUGCUUGCGGUGGAUGACUCACUAGAAAUCUGUGGUUUUUCCUACAAAUCCCGCAAUGGAAUAAUUAGUUAUUGCAAAAGAAACUCGUUAAAGGGUAUGGUGAUGCUUGCCAUAAGGUUAGUGAAAGAUGGAUCUGGAGCUGGAGCUUGAGCUGCAUUAACAUCACUUGAACUUCGCACGAAAGG